rnacentral:rRNA from 1 species
AGUGAACGCUGGCGGUAGGCCUAACACAUGCAAGUCGAACGGCAGCACAGUAAGAGCUUGCUCUUACGGGUGGCGACUGGCGGACGGGUGAGGCAUACAUCAGCAUCUACUUUUUCGUGGAGGAUAACGUAGGGAAACUUACGCUACUACCGCAUACGACCUACGGGUGAAAGCAAGAGAUCUUCAGACCUUGCGCGAUUCAAUGAGCCGAUGUCGGAUUAGCUAGUUGGCGGGGUAAAGGCCCACCAAGGCGACGAUGCGUAGCUGGUCUGAGAGGAUGAUCAGCCACACUGGAACUGAGACACGGUCCAGACUCCUACGGGAGGCAGCAGUGGGGAAUAUUGGACAAUGGGCGAAAGCCUGAUCCAGCCAUACCGCGUGGGUGAAGAAGGCCUUCGGGUUGUAAAGCCCUUUUGUUGGGAAAGAAAAGCAGCAGGUUAAUACCCCGCUGUUCUGACGGUACCCAAAGAAUAAGCACCGGCUAACUUCGUG